GCGGAUUUAGUUCAGUGGCUAGAACGCUAGCCUUCCAAGCUCGAUGUCGCGGGUUCGAGUCCCGCAAUCCGCU
rnacentral:tRNA from 2 species